UCUCUAAAAACAUAUAUUAGACAGAACUUAUUUUAGUAAUAAAAACUGUAAACAAUAUAUCAUCUUGUUCAAAGUUAUACAUCUUAGUAAUAAAAUUUAAAAAAAAGAUGAUUUUUAGGAUGUUGUACCCAUCUCUGUUUUAUGUUCUAUUGUUUUAUUCUUACUAACACAGAACAUGACACAUUUUAUGUUUAGAAUCUAUUUUACUUUAUUUUCAAUAUUAUAGUGAAUUGACCUAUACUAUCUAAUUUAAAGGUAAACAUUUUAUCCAGCUCACUGUGUAAGCAUUUUACAAUUUUUUGGUAUAAAGUAUUGAGCAUUUAUAUUUUAAGUAUGAAAUGCUCAUAGGUAACUUGAAAUUAAAAUAUCAUAAAUUGCCUACAAAGUGAGCGGAAUAAAAUUCUUAACUUUAAUUUGUAUAAUAUAGGUCAAUCACUCUAGUCUCUAAUGUUAAAAAUAACUAAGUAAAAUAGAUUCUUCUGAACAUACAAUUUGUUAUGUUAUGCAUUAGUAAGACAAAAAUGCAGUGUAUUAGUAAAAUACAACUUCCUCGUAAAUUAUAUACCUAAUACUUUCAAAUGCUAAGUUUUGUAUCUGAAUAGUUAAUAAUAUAGUUCCUAAGACAAGUCUAUUUUGUGCCUUGAAUCUAUUACAUCCAAUUAAAGAUUAAUAUUUCCAAUUAAGAUUAUUUUUUUACCUUCGUUAUCAUCGUUUGCAGGUGUUGGUGUGACUGUAUGAGUAAUAACAGAACGUACUGGUGGUUCAUGAACUACUGUUACAUCAACAUCUAAAAUUUAAAUCUAGAUAAAAAUAAAAUUCAUUUUUAUUGUAUAAUCUAGUUAAACACUGCUAUACCAUCCUCAUCUUCAAAAUCUUGGUAAAAUUCUCUCCAUCUUUCUCUCCACGGUAUAAAUCCAGGCCUUUGUAAUAAAUCUUCCCCAACUGCAGGUUCUAGAGCUACUGGUGGUUCUCUAAAUACUGGAGCAUUUACUGUUGGCUCUGGAAGAACUGGAGCAUAUAUAAGUCAAAUAUCAAAAUUAUUUUCCGAGUUUUAUACAUAGAAAAUGAGAAAUAAAUAAAUUGUAUUAUAUUUUUAUUUCCUGCAUCAUAUUUUGAAAAACAACAACAAUUAUCAUAACUUGAUUGCAAUAGCUUAAAUACUUUUGAAAGUUAGUUUCAAGAUGAAACUCGUGACUAUCAUACUUAAUUUAAUUUUAAAAAUACAGUUUUACCUAUAGGGUCCUCAACAGCAGGUUGUAUAAUUACUGGCGGUUCUCUAAAUACUGGACCGUCUAUUGUUGGCUCUGGAGGAACUGGAGCGUCUAUUGUUGGCCCUGGAGGAACUGGAGCAUCUAUUGGUAAAGUAUCAUAAUUAUUUUCCUAGUUUUAUACUUAGAAAAUGAGAAAUAAAUUAAUUGUAUUAUAUUUUUAUUUCCUGCAUCAUAUUUUGAAAAACAACAACAAUUAUCAUAACUUGAUUGCAAUAGCUUAAAUACUUUUAAAAGUUAGUUUCAUGAUGAAACUUGUGACUAUCAUACUUAAUUUAAUUUUAAAAAUACUGUUUUACCUAUAGGGUCCUCAACAGCUGGUUGUAUAACUACUGGCGGUUCUCUAAAUACUGGACCGUCUAUUGUUGGCUCUGGAGGAAAUGGAGCGUCUAUUGUUGGCUCUGGAGGAACUGGAGCAUCUAUUGGAUUUACCAUAAAAUGUCCAUAAUGGUGGAUGAACUCCUAAGUAGCCAAGUAAAGAUGCGUGGAAUGAUUCUACAAAGUUAUUUGUCCGGUGAUCUGAUCCGUGAACAGAAAAUCUUUCUGGACCUACCACACCCAUCCAAUACCGAUCAAAAUAAUUGAAGACUGGUCGUAAUUCUUCAAAUACUUGUUGCUGUAUUGCAAUCGCCCUUAUCAUCAUCAGCCCAUCGGAUAUCGUAAAUCCUCUAACAUUGGGAUAUGCAUUUCCAUUUGCAGGUAGAUGUGGAAGAGCUAGUAACUUAACAAAAAUAUUAUAUAAUAGGUAUAUAAUUUAACCACAUUACAUUUCUUAUAAUAAUUUCAUUACCAAGCGAACUAUAUUUCUACUAGUAACAUUUGUUCUUAUAAUAUUUCUCAAUCCAAGUUGUUGUAUGUGUCUUAAUACAGCCUGUACAAAAAUAGUAUAGAAUAAUAUCUUGUUUGUGAGCACAAAUAAUACAAUGAAAGUAUUUUAGAUUAUUACCUGAUUGAAGUGAAAAGAACAACCCACUUGAUGCCAUUCAGGGAAUACUGUUCUUAUGGCGUUACGAAGACCAGUUUCAAAAUCGGUAAUAACUUGAACUGGUACUUCAUGAGAAUAGGGCAGUUCAAGACUUAAAAUGUACCGCAUAACACAUACAUAUGCUGCUUGUGUAUGACGAGUUAAACAAGCAUAAGCCACUGGGAAACUCUAAACAUUAUUAUAAAUUUUCCAAAUAUGUUAAUUUGAAGUAAGUAAGUCUACAAAAAUAUGUGAAACAAAAUGUAUUAUUACCAUGUUAUUAAAUAUAAUGUGUACAGUAAGUAGUUGACGUAAAUCAGUAGGAUUAUUGGGAAGACAUUGAAAAGUACCAUCUACUGCUACAUUUGAUACAUUUAUACCAUUUUGCCGCAGUGUUGUCACUAUUUCUGUGUUGAAAAAUAUGAUGCCAUAAAACAAACCUUCGAUUGUCAAUAAUUGAUAAAAUAUUAUACUUACGGUUUCCAAUGGUAUUCUCGUAUCUCUGCCUCCAUUCUUCAGAGAUAAUCAUAGCACCCCAUUCUCUUGUUGUGCUUGGUACUGAUGGUUGGUGCCCACGUCUCGCUCUGUACAUCGUCCUUGCUGCUUGCAAAUAGGUAUACGUCCUUGCUGCCUCCGGAAACCUAAUUAUUGAAUAUUAUGUAUAGUGUACAGCUCUCUGUCUCAAUGAACGAAUAAAAGCCGUUUGGUUGUCAUUAUUAUGUUCUACAAGUCUCUGUGGAACACAUGUAUGAGGUCUUGUUAGUUUAAAAUCACUAUUGUCUUGUCUUAUGCUGCCUCUGCCUCGACAUUGGGAAUUGAAAUAAUUUGUGCAUCUCAAUUGUCUGUUUCGUUAUGGCUGUAAUAUUGGAAAUUUAAGCUAUCAAUAUAUAUGUUGGAUCGCCCAUGAACUCCUGGCACCAUACGAACACCAUUCCGAUUACCUAUAGUU